CCUACGGGAGGCAGCAGUAGGGAAUCUUCCGCAAUGGACGAAAGUCUGACGGAGCAACGCCGCGUGAGUGAUGAAGGCUUUCGGGUCGUAAAACUCUGUUGUUAGGGAAGAACAAGUACGAGAGUAACUGCUCGUACCUUGACGGUACCUAACCAGAAAGCCACGGCUAACUACGUGCCAGCAGCCGCGGUAAUACGUAGGUGGCAAGCGUUAUCCGGAAUUAUUGGGCGUAAAGCGCGCGCAGGCGGUUUCUUAAGUCUGAUGUGAAAGCCCACGGCUCAACCGUGGAGGGUCAUUGGAAACUGGGGAACUUGAGUGCAGAAGAGAAAAGCGGAAUUCCACGUGUAGCGGUGAAAUGCGUAGAGAUGUGGAGGAACACCAGUGGCGAAGGCGGCUUUUUGGUCUGUAACUGACGCUGAGGCGCGAAAGCGUGGGGAGCAAACAGGAUUAGAUACCCUGGUAGUCCACGCCGUAAACGAUGAGUGCUAAGUGUUAGGGGGUUUCCGCCCCUUAGUGCUGCAGCUAACGCAUUAAGCACUCCGCCUGGGGAGUACGGCCGCAAGGCUGAAACUCAAAGGAAUUGACGG
rnacentral:rRNA from 1 species